UACGUAGGGGGCAAGCGUUGUCCGGAUUUAUUGGGCGUAAAGAGCUCGUAGGCGGCUUGUCACGUCGGGUGUGAAAGCCCGGGGCUUAACCCCGGGUCUGCAUUCGAUACGGGCAGGCUAGAGUGUGGUAGGGGAGAUCGGAAUUCCUGGUGUAGCGGUGAAAUGCGCAGAUAUCAGGAGGAACACCGGUGGCGAAGGCGGGUCUCUGGGCCGUAACUGACGCUGAGGAGCGAAAGCAUGGGGAGCGAACAGG
rnacentral:rRNA from 1 species